GGGAAUCUUGCGCAAUGGCCGCAAGGCUGACGCAGCGACGCCGCGUGUAGGAGGACGCCCCUCGGGGUGUAAACUACUGUUGCCCGGGACGAACCGGCUUGUUCGCAAGCCCUGACGGUACCGGGUGAGGAAGCACCGGCUAACUCCGUGCCAGCAGCCGCGGUAAUACGGAGGGUGCGAGCGUUGUCCGGAAUCACUGGGCGUAAAGGGCGCGUAGGUGGCGCGGGAAGCGUGCGGUGAAAGCCCGGGGCUCAACCCCGGGUCGGCCGUGCGAACUCCCGGGCUCGAGCACUGUAGGGGCAGGCGGAAUUCCGGGUGUAGCGGUGGAAUGCGUAGAGAUCCGGAAGAACACCGGUGGCGAAGGCGGCCUGCUGGGCAGUGGCUGACGCUGAGGCGCGACAGCGUGGGGAGCAAAC
rnacentral:rRNA from 1 species